rnacentral:lncRNA from 1 species
UCCACCACACACCUACUGGAAACCUCAACAGCCAGGUGACACCACACACCUACUGGAGUUCUCAACAGCUAGGUGACACCACACACCUACUGGAGUUCUCAACAGCUAGGUUUGGUUUGGUUAACACCACUCUCGUUAGAGGGUUUAAGGUCCUGGGUUCGAUUCCCGGGGAAACCCCUGGAUUUCCGGGCAUUGAAACGCCAGUCUGAAUGAAGUUUGGACUUUGGUUGACUUAGUCGGAUUUCCUCUCUGACUGUACGCCUUUGUCGGCAAGUAGUUCGGGUGAAUGGAUGAGGCGGUGUGGCUAGUAGGCAGUCCCUAUCUGGUGAUGAUCCCCUUGGAUCGGUUUCUGCCAGGUUCUUUGAGAUCCAGCUUGGCUGGUCACAUUGUAACAAUAACUUUAGGUGACAACUACAGCCACUGCCAUGACCACACAGAUCAUCUAGAGCUCUCCAGUUGACAAGCCCAGAGCUCCACUUGAAUCUAGGAUCUUGAACUUGAAAGCUCUCCAGUUGCAGGCCCAGAGCUCCAGCCUUGUACCCCAGAGACUCCCUGCACCACAGGGGGGGUCUACACACCACCAAGGUGUGGAUGGGUUUUGGUAAACCAGGGCCCUUCCUGGUGGGGUGACCGGGAUUCGAACCCAGGAUCUCUCGAAGCCUUAACGAAAUCGGCUUGAGUGUCUUAACCAUUUAGAC